rnacentral:rRNA from 1 species
GACGAACGCUGGCGGCGUGCUUAACACAUGCAAGUCGAACGGAAAGGCCCCCUUGUGGGGUACUCGAGUGGCGAACGGGUGAGUAACACGUGAGUAACCUACCCUUGACUUUGGGAUAACUUCAGGAAACUGGGGCUAAUACCGGAUAGGAGCUCCUGUUGCAUGGUGGGGGUUGGAAAGUUUCGGCGGUUGGGGAUGGACUCGCGGCUUAUCAGCUUGUUGGUGGGGUAGUGGCUCACCAAGGCUUUGACGGGUAGCCGGCCUGAGAGGGUGACCGGCCACAUUGGGACUGAGAUACGGCCCAGACUCCUACGGGAGGCAGCAGUGGGGAAUAUUGCACAAUGGGCGGAAGCCUGAUGCAGCAACGCCGCGUGCGGGAUGACGGCCUUCGGGUUGUAAACCGCUUUCGCCUGUGACGAAGCGUGAGUGACGGUAAUGGGUAAAGAAGCACCGGCUAACUACGUG